UGAAAAGCUGUGAAAAGGAAUAGUAACUGCAUGCGUUUCCGAAAAGAGAGCUGUCGGGUGGUGCGAGACAGUGGGGACAAAGCGGCGAACUCACCUUCGAGCUUCCGGCUGAAUCAGUUUUGCGUGACCGGCAAAGGAUCCCGCAAAAGGAAAUAGGUUGUGACGGAUACCCACCGUUAGCGGGGCACGGCAUGUUUGUGCCGGAUGAGUGCAUGUGUUACAUGAAAUAGAGUGGUACCGCGAAAGAAUUAUUCUUCCGUCUCUAUG
rnacentral:ncRNA from 1 species